UACGUAGGGUGCGAGCGUUACUCGGAAUUACUGGGCGUAAAGCGUGCGCAGGCGGUUUUGUAAGCCAGAUGUGAAAGCCCCGGGCUUAACCUGGGAAUGGCAUUUGGGACUGCAAGGCUUGAGUGCGGCAGAGGAGACUGGAAUUCCCGGUGUAGCAGUGAAAUGCGUAGAUAUCGGGAGGAAUACCGGUGGCGAAGGCGCACAUCUGGCCCGAUACUGACGCUGAGGCGCGAAAGCUAGGGGAGCAAACGGG
rnacentral:rRNA from 1 species